rnacentral:lncRNA from 1 species
GAAAUAGUGAAGCUUUAAACUCCAUCAUCACCGUCGCCGCAACCGAAGGUGAGAUUCUUUUGGCUUGAAUCUUUCUGGAAGUAUUUGGUAGAGAGCAAGAGAGUGAGACGAAGAGAGUUUGAGGACUUGAGAGAUGUCGAGAGAGAGACAUCGAGAGUGAUGGAGAGCAUCGCGAGAAGGAGAAGAGCGAGCUUUGUGAGAGAGACAGAUCCGUUUUUGUUUUUCUUUCUUUAUUUUCUUUUUUCAUUUUUUUAAUUAAAUAGAGUAAUUAAUUUUAAAAAAAAACAUUAUGAAAAAAUUUCCUUUAAUUUUCCUAGGUUAGUUAGUUAAUAAAUGUUUUAGGUUUCCAAUCUAUUCCUCUUGGUAAACCCAACAGCCAUGCGGCUGGGUUUGAUUACUAGUAGACUAACAGUCCUCUUUCUAUUUAGUUUUUUGUUUUAAUCCUUUUUAAUUUAUUUUAGUUUAUAUAUUUAAAUUAGUAUUAAAAUAACAAUUAGUUGGUAAGUGGCCUGGUGGAGAGGAGUGACUUCUAGAUCUUUAGGGUAGUGGGUUCGAUACUCCUAGGUGUAGUUUUUCUUUCUUUUAUUAUAUUUAGGCUUUAUUAUUCAUAUUUAUUUCUUUUUAUUUAUUUAUUGUUG